GAUUUAUAAAGAAGCGCGGAGAGACAGGCUCUGUGAAGCGCUAGCAACCCUGCCAGACAGAUGGCAACGGUGCUAAAUCCUGAUCCCGGAUAAGCGGGAGAAUAUAAAUC
rnacentral:ncRNA from 2 species